rfam:Marchantia polymorpha subsp. polymorpha scaffold1616, whole genome shotgun sequence.
AUACUUACCUGGGCGGGGCCUAUCGCUGAUCCGAAAGGGCGAUGACCUACGAUGAGCCUCGCCAUUGCACUACGGCUGGGCAAGUCGUAGCAUUUCCCCAAGGGGAAAAUGCACGUCAUAAUUUGUGGCAGCGGAGGGCUCGCGUUCGCGCGGCCCUCCA